AAAACGGCUCUUUUAAGAGCCACCACAUCUGAUGAAAGUCAACCAU
rfam:Nematostella vectensis strain CH2 x CH6 NEMVEscaffold_131_Cont14772, whole genome shotgun sequence.